rnacentral:rRNA from 1 species
GACGAACGCUGGCGGCGUGCCUAAUACAUGCAAGUUGAGCGAUGAAGAUUGGUGCUUGCACCAAUUUGAAGAGCAGCGAACGGGUGAGUAACGCGUGGGGAAUCUGCCUUUGAGCGGGGGACAACAUUUGGAAACGAAUGCUAAUACCGCAUAACAACUUUAAACAUAAGUUUUAAGUUUGAAAGAUGCAAUUGCAUCACUCAAAGAUGAUCCCGCGUUGUAUUAGCUAGUUGGUGAGGUAAAGGCUCACCAAGGCGAUGAUACAUAGCCGACCUGAGAGGGUGAUCGGCCACAUUGGGACUGAGGCACGGCCCAAACUCCUACGGGAGGCAGCAGUAGGGAAUCUUCGGCAAUGGACGAAAGUCUGACCGAGCAACGCCGCGUGAGUGAAGAAGGUUUUCGGAUCGUAAAACUCUGCUGGUAGAGAAGAACGUUGGUGAGAGUGGAAAGCUCAUCAAGUGACGGUAACUACCCAGAAAGGGACGGCUAACUACGUG